rnacentral:rRNA from 1 species
UACGAAGGGGGCUAGCGUUGUUCGGAAUUACUGGGCGUAAAGCGCGCGCAGGCGGCUUCUCAAGUCAGGGGUGAAAGCCCAGAGCUCAACUCUGGAAUUGCCUUUGAGACUGAGUGGCUUGAGUACGAGAGAGGUGAGUGGAAUUCCCAGUGUAGAGGUGAAAUUCGUAGAUAUUGGGAAGAACACCGGUGGCGAAGGCGGUUCUCUGGGCCUGUACUGACGCUGAGGAGCGAAAGCGUGGGGAGCGAACAGG